rnacentral:rRNA from 1 species
GGGUUGUGAGGUUAAGCGACUAAGCGUACACGGUGGAUGCCCUGGCAGUCAGAGGCGAUGAAGGACGUGCUAAUCUGCGAUAAGCGUCGGUGAGGUGAUAUGAACCGUUAUAACCGGCGAUUUCCGAAUGGGGAAACCCAGUGUGUUUCGACACACUAUCAUUAACUGAAUCCAUAGGUUAAUGAGGCGAACCGGGGGAACUGAAACAUCUAAGUACCCCGAGGAAAAGAAAUCAACCGAGAUUCCCCCAGUAGCGGCGAGCGAACGGGGAGCAGCCCAGAGCCUGAAUCAGUGUGUGUGUUAGUGGAAGCGUCUGGAAAGGCGCGCGAUACAGGGUGACAGCCCCGUACACAAAAAUGCACAUGCUGUGAGCUCGAUGAGUAGGGCGGGACACGUGGUAUCCUGUCUGAAUAUGGGGGGACCAUCCUCCAAGGCUAAAUACUCCUGACUGACCGAUAGUGAACCAGUACCGUGAGGGAAAGGCGAAAAGAACCCCGGCGAGGGGAGUGAAAAAGAACCUGAAACCGUGUACGUACAAGCAGUGGGAGCCUCUUAAUGGGGUGACUGCGUACCUUUUGUAUAAUGGGUCAGCGACUUAUAUUCUGUAGCAAGGUUAACCGAAUAGGGGAGCCGAAGGGAAACCGAGUCUUAACUGGGCGUUAAGUUGCAGGGUAUAGACCCGAAACCCGGUGAUCUAGCCAUGGGCAGGUUGAAGGUUGGGUAACACUAACUGGAGGACCGAACCGACUAAUGUUGAAAAAUUAGCGGAUGACUUGUGGCUGGGGGUGAAAGGCCAAUCAAACCGGGAGAUAGCUGGUUCUCCCCGAAAGCUAUUUAGGUAGCGCCUCGUGAAUUCAUCUCCGGGGGUAGAGCACUGUUUCGGCAAGGGGGUCAUCCCGACUUACCAACCCGAUGCAAACUGCGAAUACCGGAGAAUGUUAUCACGGGAGACACACGGCGGGUGCUAACGUCCGUCGUGAAGAGGGAAACAACCCAGACCGCCAGCUAAGGUCCCAAAGUCAUGGUUAAGUGGGAAACGAUGUGGGAAGGCCCAGACAGCCAGGAUGUUGGCUUAGAAGCAGCCAUCAUUUAAAGAAAGCGUAAUAGCUCACUGGUCGAGUCGGCCUGCGCGGAAGAUGUAACGGGGCUAAACCAUGCACCGAAGCUGCGGCAGCGACACUAUGUGUUGUUGGGUAGGGGAGCGUUCUGUAAGCCUGUGAAGGUGUACUGUGAGGUAUGCUGGAGGUAUCAGAAGUGCGAAUGCUGACAUAAGUAACGAUAAAGCGGGUGAAAAGCCCGCUCGCCGGAAGACCAAGGGUUCCUGUCCAACGUUAAUCGGGGCAGGGUGAGUCGACCCCUAAGGCGAGGCCGAAAGGCGUAGUCGAUGGGAAACAGGUUAAUAUUCCUGUACUUGGUGUUACUGCGAAGGGGGGACGGAGAAGGCUAUGUUGGCCGGGCGACGGUUGUCCCGGUUUAAGCGUGUAGGCUGGUUUUCCAGGCAAAUCCGGAAAAUCAAGGCUGAGGCGUGAUGACGAGGCACUACGGUGCUGAAGCAACAAAUGCCCUGCUUCCAGGAAAAGCCUCUAAGCAUCAGGUAACAUCAAAUCGUACCCCAAACCGACACAGGUGGUCAGGUAGAGAAUACCAAGGCGCUUGAGAGAACUCGGGUGAAGGAACUAGGCAAAAUGGUGCCGUAACUUCGGGAGAAGGCACGCUGAUAUGUAGGUGAAGCGACUUGCUCGUGGAGCUGAAAUCAGUCGAAGAUACCAGCUGGCUGCAACUGUUUAUUAAAAACACAGCACUGUGCAAACACGAAAGUGGACGUAUACGGUGUGACGCCUGCCCGGUGCCGGAAGGUUAAUUGAUGGGGUUAGCGGUAACGCGAAGCUCUUGAUCGAAGCCCCGGUAAACGGCGGCCGUAACUAUAACGGUCCUAAGGUAGCGAAAUUCCUUGUCGGGUAAGUUCCGACCUGCACGAAUGGCGUAAUGAUGGCCAGGCUGUCUCCACCCGAGACUCAGUGAAAUUGAACUCGCUGUGAAGAUGCAGUGUACCCGCGGCAAGACGGAAAGACCCCGUGAACCUUUACUAUAGCUUGACACUGAACAUUGAGCCUUGAUGUGUAGGAUAGGUGGGAGGCUUUGAAGUGUGGACGCCAGUCUGCAUGGAGCCGGCCUUGAAAUACCACCCUUUAAUGUUUGAUGUUCUAACGUUGGCCCCUGAUCGGGGUUGCGGACAGUGUCUGGUGGGUAGUUUGACUGGGGCGGUCUCCUCCUAAAGAGUAACGGAGGAGCACGAAGGUUGGCUAAUCCUGGUCGGACAUCAGGAGGUUAGUGCAAUGGCAUAAGCCAGCUUGACUGCGAGCGUGACGGCGCGAGCAGGUGCGAAAGCAGGUCAUAGUGAUCCGGUGGUUCUGAAUGGAAGGGCCAUCGCUCAACGGAUAAAAGGUACUCCGGGGAUAACAGGCUGAUACCGCCCAAGAGUUCAUAUCGACGGCGGUGUUUGGCACCUCGAUGUCGGCUCAUCACAUCCUGGGGCUGAAGUAGGUCCCAAGGGUAUGGCUGUUCGCCAUUUAAAGUGGUACGCGAGCUGGGUUUAGAACGUCGUGAGACAGUUCGGUCCCUAUCUGCCGUGGGCGCUGGAGAACUGAGGGGGGCUGCUCCUAGUACGAGAGGACCGGAGUGGACGCAUCACUGGUGUUCGGGUUGUCAUGCCAAUGGCACUGCCCGGUAGCUAAAUGCGGAAGAGAUAAGUGCUGAAAGCAUCUAAGCACGAAACUUGCCCCGAGAUGAGUUCUCCCUGACUCCUUGAGAGUCCUGAAGGAACGUUGAAGACGACGACGUUGAUAGGCCGGGUGUGUAAGCGCAGCGAUGCGUUGAGCUAACCGGUACUAAUGAACCGUGAGGCUUAACCUUACAACGCCGAAGCUGUU